ACUUCUUCUUCUCUCUGCCAAAUUUCCCUCUUCCAUUUUCUCUCUGUACCUAGCCGGCACUCUCCCUCUCUCUAAAAAAGCUUCCUUUUUCUUUUCUCUCCAGAAGAAGCUCCCUCUCUUUUCUCCCUCGCCGCUGGCCUGUCUUCUAGCCGGCGAUCCCUCCUUCAUUCUUCUUUUUUCUUUUCCUUCCGUCUCUCUUCCUCGUCUUCCCCCCUUAGCGCCGGCAGCUCUGCAAAAUCUGCAGAGACGCUUUUCAGGUACAUCGCUGCUGAGCAAGUACCAGUCAAAUAUGGAGGACUGAGCAAAGAUGGUGAAUUCGCCAACACUGAUGCCGUUACUGAGAUAACUGUUAAGCCAUCAGUGAAGCACACAAUAGAGUUUCCGGUUACUGAGACAUGCCUUCUCACAUGGCAGGUCAGAGUUGUGGGAUGGGAUGUUAGCUAUGGGGCAGAAUUCAUACCCAGUGCUGAAGACAGCUACACAGUUAUAAUCCAAAAGGCUAGGAAGGUUGCAUCUACUGAAGAACCCGUGGUCUGCAACAAUUUCAAGAUUGGUGAACCUGGCAAGGUUAUUCUCACCAGUGACAAUCCCACCUCAAAGAAGAAGAAGCUCCUCUAUCGCCUCAAGACCAAGCCUACAUCUGAUUAAAUGAGAGCCAAAAAGAAGAACAACUUAUUCAUCUUUAAGAUCAUUACAGCUGGGAGGAUGAAAUUAUUCUAUUUGCUCUUGCUCUGCUUCAAGAAAAAAGAAGCUUUUAACAUUAAUUUUGGAAGUUGUUUACUAUAAAUAUAUAUACUUCAGCGGUUUGUUUAUAAUCUAUACCCUACACUGCAUCCAAGCUGUAUUCGUUUUCCUCGCAUAUUCAAAACUGUUUUUGGUUUGUGGGAU